rnacentral:rRNA from 1 species
AUGAGGGGCGCCGCGAUCCAGGGCCACGGCCUCGCCCGCGCGCCGCCGGCCGCCGUCCCGCUGCUGCACCCGCGGCCGCGCCGCGCUGUCGGGGUGGCCCCCCGCCACCGCCUGAGGAGCGACCUCCUGCCGCUGCUGCUGCCCACCGCCGCGCCCUUCCGGGCUCGCUCCCCGCCCUCGUCUUCCUCCUCUAAUGUGAACCCCAGGACAGGGGAAGGCGCGGACGAGCUGCUCGAGGAAUUGCUCCAGAAGCACGGCGAGGUCGUGUACAGCUCCGGCGGGGCCAGCAGCGCGUCUCUGGCCAGCGAGGCCGACGAGGACGCCGAGUGCCUGUCACUGGCUGUUUCUCUGGCUAAAGUUGCAAGCGAGGUCAAGGCCGCCGACAUUCGUGUGCUGUUCGUGAAGCCGAUUGUCUACUGGACCGAGUUCUUCAUCAUCCUCACCGCCUUCUCGAAUGCACAGAUUGAGGCCAUCAGUUCCAAAAUGAGAGACAUCGGGGAGCAGCAGUUCAGCAGAGUUGCGUCUGGUGAUACAAAACCCAAUUCAUGGACCUUGCUGGACUUUGGCGAUGUCGUCGUGCAUAUAUUUCUUCCCCCGCAGCGGGAGUUCUACAACCUGGAAGAGUUCUACGGCAACGCCACUCCCAUCGAACUCCCUUUCGAGACCCAGCUGCAGUAA